CCUCUGUGAUGAACAAAAUAAGAUGACGAGUCCGAUUGAAAUCCAUUCUUAUACUAUGAGGACAAUCGAGGCAUUUGUCUGAGAGGA